GGUUCCGUAGCUCAGUCGGUUAGAGCAUCGUGCUGAUAACGUGAGUGUCGAGGGACUGAUCCCCUCGGAGCCA
rnacentral:tRNA from 1 species